rnacentral:lncRNA from 1 species
GCUGGUUCAUGUGCUACUCCCAAGCCACAAAACGAAACGAAGCAUCAUACUGAACACAAGCCUUGGACCGAAGUGCAUUACAAGAGGAAGAGUUCUGUUAUCUCUUCCCUUAAAAAGACAUACAGGGAUGCUCUUCUAACACCUACUCCACAUACUCUACCCCGCAUUCCCUAGAGACCCACUUCCUCCACCUCUACCAAAUUCGUCAAACACGCCUUCAUCGGCCGGUGCUUCAGG